UACGUAGGGUGCAAGCGUUGUCCGGAAUUAUUGGGCGUAAAGGGCGCGUAGGCGGUUUGUUAAGUCGGCUGUGAAAGCCCGGGGCUCAACCCCGGAGGGUCAGCCGAUACUGGCAGGCUAGAGUACGGAAUAGGUAGCUGGAAUUCCCGGUGUAGCGGUGAAAUGCGUAGAUAUCAGGAGGAACACCGGUGGCGAAGGCGGGUCUCUGGGCCGAUACUGACGCUGAGGAGCGAAAGCGUGGGGAGCGAACAGG
rnacentral:rRNA from 1 species